AUACGGAGGAUGCGAGCGUUAUCCGGAUUUAUUGGGUUUAAAGGGUGCGUAGGCGGAAUAAUAAGUCAGUGGUGAAAACCUUCAGCUUAACUGGAGACUUGCCAUUGAUACUGUUAGUCUUGAGUAUGGUUAAGGUAGGCGGAAUGUGUAAUGUAGCGGUGAAAUGCUUAGAUAUUACACAGAACACCAAUUGCGAAGGCAGCUUACUGAGCCAUAACUGACGCUGAUGCACGAAAGCGUGGGGAGCGAACAGGAUUAGAUACCCUGGUAGUCCACGCCGUAAACGAUGAUCACUCGCUGUUGGCGAUACACAGUCAGCGGCUAAGCAAAAGCAUUAAGUGAUCCACCUGGGGAGUACGGCCGCAAGGCUGAA
rnacentral:rRNA from 1 species